UACGGGGGGGGUAAGCGUUGUUCGGAAUUACUGGGCGUAAAGGGCUCGUAGGCGGCCAACUAAGUCACACGUGAAAUCCCUCAGCUUAACUGGGGAACUGCGUGUGAUACUGGAUGGCUUGGAUUUGGGAGAGGGAUGCGGAAUUCCAGGUGUAGCGGUGAAAUGCAUAGAUAUCUGGAGGAACACCGGUGGCGAAGGCGGCAUCCUGGACCAAUAUUGACGCUGAGGAGCGAAAGCCAGGGGAGCAAACGGG
rnacentral:rRNA from 1 species